AAGAGAAUCACCAUCGCAAGGAAGAACCUCCACGCCAGGGGCUGGGAGAAGAAAGCGUCAAUUAUCUGGCCAGUGGAGAUCCCUUGUUUCAGUGUUAUAAAUUGGGCUAGUGGUCUGACGGUGAUGAAACAGCCUACAGAGGAGAGGUUAACACCCUGACACAGUGGUGCCAAGACAACAACCUCCCCUUCAAUUUCCAAAAAACAAAUGAGCUGAUCGUGGAUUACAGGAGGAAUGGAGACAGUCUCACUGCAAUCACCAUCGAUGGGACUGCAGUCAAGAGGAGCCUUCCCAGUAACCAGAACAGGUCUGAACUAAAAUGCCGUCUCCUCAUGUAACUCAAAGAUCAACCUGUGGAAAGGGUGACCCGUUAAGAGCCAGGAAGACAGGGCCAGCUCAAAGUUUCCUGAUGCUAAAUUAUUCCAAGCUCCAUGCAAAGGGCCAGCUCGGAUCUCAGGAUUUAAGAGGAGGAGACAAGAUGAUCCCGAUAGCCAAAGCUGAUUUCUGCACAAGGAGAUCCAGACAUCAUUGAGCUAGUGACAUUCUAAUAAAGGGUGCCGGAGCGGAAAGUCAGAGCGGAGGAGUUUCGGAGCUGUCCACCUACAUCGAGAGUGAGGUUCAAUCGAUCUAAGCGUUGGGCCAAUUUGUGAAGCUCGGGUCUGGGCUGGAACGUGGCGGUUAGACCCAGCACGUAUUGAAGCGACAAUUUAAACGCCAGUCCCGAUGGACUGAAAAGGCUGGCUGUCGGGACCGGAGGCGAGGGUCGAACCGGUUCGCGACGUUUACUCUGCUCUGCUCCCUGCUGCACUGAGGCUGAGUGUGUGGGCCUGUUGUGGCUGCACCAGGCUUCGUGUCUGCGAUCUCCAUUACGUUUUGCUCCAUUGUGUUAUGGACGGAGAUUGAGGCUGAGGGCUGUUCUGGCUGCUCCAAGCUUCAUGUCUAUGGACUCAUUUUCGUUCUGAGUGCUGUUAUUUGCUUUAACGGUUUGCACAAUGUGUGUGUGUGUGUUUUUUUUUCUCUGCGCAUUCGGUGUUUGUUGGUCUUUUUCGAAAGCUUUUUUUUCCAGGUUUCUUGUUUUGUGGCUGCCUGUAAGGAGACGAAUCUCAAGGUUGUAUAAUUUACACAUACUUUGAUAAUAAAUGUACAUUGAACAUUGAACUUUGAUGUAAUGAACAGUUGGGAAGUAACGAAAGCUAGUAGUAGAGAGAAGACAAUCCAGUAGACGCUGACCCGUUCUGCAGCCACAAAAAUACCUCAAUUUCCGGUAACCAAAUAGAGAGUCUAACCAUCAGGUUCAAUUGGUUAGAUAAUAAUCAUUGUUAUAGAUUCACUGAGGUAACGGUAACAUAUCAGACCUGGUACACAUUGACAGGAGUAGGCAGUUUAGGUGGUUUGGCACAGACUAGAUGGGCCAAAGGGCCUUUUUCUGUUCUGUGCUUUUCUAUGAUGGACUGAACCUGAGAAUGCUGCUGCUUUCUAACUGUGCUGUGUUGCUUUUCUUGAGAUAUCCUUCAGCAGUAACCUGGUGUUUAACAACCACAGAAACUUGAGUCACUCAGUUGUCCAUUUUAGUCAAUAAACUGCCACGCUUUGGAACCAGAAAGUAAGAUGUUAGAGAGAAGUUCACACACAGUGCGCCACAAAGAGGAGCUUCCUUCAGCUGAAUCCAAUUCUACUCAUGGUUACCUCAAGCUCGUCAACAGCCAAAGGUUAUCAGUUCCUUCACACAUUACUGCUUCUGGAUCAUGCUGAACAAGUUGGUUUCAAAAUAAAUCCACUCAGUUCAGAUGCAAUAAUUAAUAACAGGAAGUUAACUGUAAACGAAACCAAAAGCUCACCUGUUCCAGCACACAAAACUAUGUCUG